rnacentral:rRNA from 1 species
UACGGGGGGGGCAAGCGUUGUUCGGAAUUACUGGGCGUAAAGGGCGCGUAGGCGGUGCUCUAAGUCGGAUGUGAAAACUCUGGGCUCAACCCAGAGCCUGCAUCCGAAACUGGAGUGCUAGAGUUCUGGAGGGGGUAGCGGAAUUCCUGGUGUAGCGGUGAAAUGCGUAGAUAUCGAGAGGAACACCUGCGGCGAAGGCGGGUUGCUGGGCUGACACUGACGCUGAAGCGCGAAAGCUAGGGGAGCGAACGGG